GUUUGAUCCUGGCUCAGAGCGAACGCUGGCGGCGUGCCUAACACAUGCAAGUCGAGCGAGAAAAGGAGCUUCGGUUCCUGGGUACAGCGGCGAACGGGUGCGUAACACGUGGGUGAUCUGUCCUUGAGACGGGGAUAACCCAGCGAAAGUUGGGCUAAUACCGGAUAAGACCGCGAGAGGAAACUCUCGGGGUUAAAGGGUGCUUCCUUCGGGGCGCAUUCUCUUGAGGAGGAGCCCGCGGCCUAUCAGCUUGUUGGUAGGGUAACGGCCUACCAAGGCAAAGACGGGUAGCUGGUCUGAGAGGAUGACCAGCCACACGGGGACUGAGACACGGCCCCGACUCCUACGGGAGGCAGCAGUGGGGAAUAUUGGGCAAUGGGGGAAACCCUGACCCAGCGACGCCGCGUGGGUGAUGGAGGCCUUCGGGUCGUAAAGCCCUGUCUGGAGGAACGAAUGACCUCGUGGCAAAUAACCGCGAGGUGUGAUGGUACCUCCGAAGGAAGCACCGGCCAACUCCGUGCCAGCAGCCGCGGUAAGACGGAGGGUGCAAGCGUUGCUCGGAAUCACUGGGCGUAAAGGGUGCGUAGGCGGUCUCUCAAGUCUGACGUGAAAGCCCAGGGCUCAGCCUUGGAAGUGCGCUAGAAACUGAGAGGCUCGAGUGCCGGAGGGGAGAGUGGAAUUCCCGGUGUAGCGGUGAAAUGCGUAGAUACCGGGAGGAAUACCGGUGGCGAAAGCGACUCUCUGGACGGCAACUGACGCUGAGGCACGAAAGCGUGGGGAGCAAACAGGAUUAGAUACCCUGGUAGUCCACGCCGUAAACGAUGGGCACUAGGUGUCGGGGGUAUCCACUCCCUCGGUGCCGCCGCUAACGCAUUAAGUGCCCGCCUGGGAAGUACGGCCGCAAGGUUAAACUCCAAAAGGAAUUGACGGGGGCCCGCACAAGCGGUGGAGCAUGUGGUUCAAUUCGAUGCAACGCGAAGAACUUUACCUGGGUUUGACAUCUGGCGAAUCCCCGAAAACCGGGGCGUGCCCGCAAGGAGCGCCAGACAGUGCCUGCAUGCUGUCGUCAGCUCUGCCUGUGAGAGGUGUUUUGGGUUUAGUUCUGCACG
rnacentral:rRNA from 1 species